CAAACAUCACAACAAGAUGUCGUCACGUCUGCUCGUCUUGUUGCUCCUUUGUGGAUUGGGGAUUAAACGAAAUGUACUUUGUGAUGCACAACC